rnacentral:ncRNA from 1 species
GUAGUAGGCCUACCGCAUUUGAUGUACAGGCAUUGAUUGCAAACCACUUUGUGCUGCUCUGGUGGAAACAUCAUGGUAGUGAACGACAAUUGAAAGCCUCCCGUAAGGUUGGCA